rnacentral:piRNA from 1 species
UAUCGAGGAUAAGGUCCACAUGCCAA